AGAUUGAACGCUAGCGGGAUGGCUUAACGACAUGCAAGUCGAACGGCAGCGCGGACUUCGGUCUGGCGGCGAGUGGCGAACGGGUGAGUAAUAUAUCGGAACGUGCCCAGUAGCGGGGGGAUAACUACGCGAAAGCGUGGCUAAUACCGCAUACGCCCUACGGGGGAAAGGGGGGGAUUCUUCGGAACCUCUCACUAUUGGAGCGGCCGAUAUCAGAUUAGCUAGUUGGUGAGGUAAAGGCCUCACCAAGGCGACGAUCUGUAGCUGGUUUGAGAGGACGACCAGCCACACUGGGACUGAGACACGGCCCAGACUCCUACGGGAGGCAGCAGUGGGGAAUUUGGACAAUGGGGGAAACCUGAUCCAGCCAUCCCGCGUGUGCGAUGAAGGCCUUCGGGUUGUAAGACACGUUUGGUCGAGGAAGGAAACGGACGUGACCCGUAACUAACGGGACGUCACUGACGGUACCGUGCAAGAAUAAGACAACCGGCUAACUACGUCG
rnacentral:rRNA from 1 species